UACAGAGGUGGCAAGCGUUGUUCGGAAUUACUGGGCGUAAAGGGCGCGUAGGCGGUUCGAUAAGUCCUGUGUGAAAUCCCUCGGCUCAACUGAGGAACUGCACGGGAGACUGUCGGGCUUGAGUUCGGGAGAGGGAAGCGGAAUUCCGGGUGUAGCGGUGAAAUGCGUAGAUAUUAGGAAGAACACCGGUGGCGAAGGCGGCCCACUGGUCCGGUACUGACGCUGAGGUGCGAAAGCGUGGGGAGCAAACAGG
rnacentral:rRNA from 1 species